CAGGACGAACGCUGGCGGCAUGCCUAACACAUGCAAGUCGAACGGAACUAAGGGGCUUGCCCUUAGUUAGUGGCGGACGGGUGAGUAACGCGUGAGCAACCUGCCUUUCAGUGGGGAAUAAUAUCCUGAAAAGGGUACUAAUACCGCAUAACGUAACGAGAUCGCAUGGUUUUGUUACCAAAGAUUUAUCGCUGAGAGAUGGGCUCGCGUCCGAUUAGCCAGUUGGUGGGGUAACGGCCUACCAAAGCUACGAUCGGUAGCCGGACUGAGAGGUUGAACGGCCACAUUGGGACUGAGACACGGCCCAGACUCCUACGGGAGGCAGCAGUGGGGGAUAUUGCGCAAUGGGGGAAACCCUGAACCGCAGCAAUGCCGCGUGAAGGAUGAAGGUCUUCGGAUUGUAAACUUCUUUUGUCAGGGACGAAAAUUGACGGUACCUGACGAAUAAGCUCCGGCUAACUACGUGCCAGCAGCCGC
rnacentral:rRNA from 1 species